rnacentral:rRNA from 1 species
AAUCAACGCUGGCGGCGUGCCUCAGACAUGCAAGUCGAACGCGAAAGUCCCCUUCGGGGGACAAGUAGAGUGGCGCACGGGUGAGUAACACGUAGGUAAUCCACCUUCGGAUGGGGAAUAACAACCGGAAACGGUUGCUAAUACCGCAUAAUGCAGCGGCACCUAAUGGUGACAGUUGUUAAAGCGGGGGAUCGAAAGACCUCGCGUCUGAAGAGGAGCCUGCGGCGGAUUAGCAGUUGGUAAGGUAACGGCUUACCAAGGCGACGAUCCGUAGCCGGCCUGAGAGGGCGGUCGGCCACACUGACACUGACAUACGGGUCAGACUCCUACGGGAGGCAGCAGUCGGGAAUUUUGGGCAAUGGGCGAAAGCCUGACCCAGCAACGCCGCGUGAAGGAUGAAAUCCC